rnacentral:tmRNA from 1 species
GGGGGCGUAUUUGGUUUCGACGGGGAUUUUGAUGUGCAAGAAGCGAGCCGCGGUUCCUGGGGCCGCGUCAACAACCUGGGAAAACAAUAACUGACAAUCGUCAAAACUACGCUUUCGCGGCCUAAUCGGCCGUGAAAUGUCGGCCCUAAGCUACCCACGGCGUAGGUAGCCGGCAUCAUGAAUGUGGGGAACCAGCCCGCCUAAGCUUUGCGGCGGGUGGGACUUUAUGAAGCUACCCAAUCCCGGACCGGCCGACUGGGGGCCGGGAGGAGGGAAUCUUUAACCAUCGGCUGCGCUCGGAGAUGCUUGCAUUGACGGAUUUUCGGACAGGAGUUCAACUCUCCUCGCCUCCACCA